rnacentral:lncRNA from 1 species
AGAACGGGUGGCCACUCCGAGUUCCCUCACAGCUCCAAGCCCACUAUGGUUGGGUAUUACCUGCGUGGAUGAAAAUAGAAGGGGUGAGUUUGGGGAAACUCAGUGUGUAAAUUAACCCAACCAUAGCCUAUAUCAGCUCAAACCACAGAAAUAGAAUAAGUUGGCCUUAGCCCAGAACAGAAUUCAGAAUAAAGCCCAUAGGCCCAUAACAGAACGGAACAGAUAUUACAUGUUUAUGCAGAAACCCAACCAUAUCCAACCGUAUACACCCCUGUACCAACCUUACACCGUGUGGGGAGACAACUCGACCCAUCCAACCGCUACACACCACAAAAAUCGCAGCGAGGCUGCCAGAUAUUGUGACAGAGCCACCAGAUACAGAUAUUGUGGCAGAGCCACCAGAACAGAUAUAUGUGGCAGAGCCACCAGAUCAGAUAAUUGUGGCAUAGCCACCAGGACGCUUCCUUCAUAAUAUAACGCAUGUCCCCAUGUAACAGAAAUAACAUGUCAUGGCAUACGUAUACAGAAACAGAACAUCAUGCUUUUCAGAAAAAAAAUAACCCUAGGGGUAUAACGGUAAUUUUGCAUACAUAGGGGUGUUCAAGUAAUUUCACUAUUCUUAAGGUUUUCAUACAUAACAUAGCCAUUUAUGUACGAUCAGAAACACUUACUGCGUUUUCUUACCAACUUGGACCCGUUGGCCCAUUAUCCCGUUUUUGGCCCAUUAAGCCCAAAAAUAUCGAAAUGCACGGAAUCGCGCACUCUGCAGUCUUAUCACUUUAAUUUACCAUAUACAUCAAACUAUUAAUCUCAUAAGCAUUCACACACUCGCAAGAUCUCAAAAUACUGGCUUUUAUGCAUUUCGGCUUUUCGGCUUGUGCCGAUCUAGUCUAUAAGAGGGUGUUAGUUACACACCUAUUUGCGACGAUAUGCUGACGAGAUCCACACACGAACCGCCUACAAUUGGAUUACUAACACGUUAAUUUAACUAUUCAAAUAUGAACUACAUAUUAACCCCUUACAGUAUUCAGCCAACCACACCUACAGAUUAGAGUAAGCUUAUAAGAAAUCAAUAAGCAACUCAUUAACAAUUUUUUGCCAGUGUUUGCCACAUAAUCAUAAUUUCACCACAAGCUGUCUUCCUGAGCAAUAGUCACUAAAUCAUUUAUAACUGGAGCUACGAAACUCCAAAUCAAGUGCCGUUAAUUUUCCCUGAAAAUAGACUCAUAUAUCUUCUAUCCAUAAAAUUUUAAAAAUUUUUGGUUUAGCCAAUCAAUACCAGAGUUUUCUCAAGUUUCCCAUGUUUCACUGUUUGACUAAUCUGACCACUCUUCAUUACAAAUCAAAUUUCUCAUUGUAAAAAAUUCAAAAUAUGUUCUUGUUUCUUUUAUUUGAAACUAGUCUCAAUAAGCUUUAAUUACAUAAUUUAUUCAACUUCUAAUUCAUCUCCCACAAUUUAUGGUGAUUUUCAAAAGUCACGUUACUGCUGCUGUCCCAAGCAGAUUUAUUACCAAAUCACUCUUUCACACAUACCUUGCAUGCAUGUUAUUUAAACAUGUAUAUCACCAAUCAAUCAUCACAUAUCUAUGAUUUUGCUUAAGUAUAAUCUCCAUUUCAUCAUUUUAAAGCACAUGUUAGCCAAUUUUUCCCUUUAGCAUCUAAGGCACAUGCAUACUCAUUUGUUUGACUCAACUUCACCUAUCUUCCAUUUUUCAUUAAAAGAACAUGAAACAACAACCAUUUCCUUCAUUUUAAUUCAUGACUAAAUGCUCACAACACAACUAAAAACCAAAAUAUGCUUCAAGAGUUAAGGUAGAAUCAAGAAGAACUCAUGAACAUUAAGAUAGAAGCAAACUACCAUGAACUUACCUUCAAUUUUCUUCCCCAAGUGACCAAACAUUCAAGAUCUUUCUCCUCUCCUUUCUCUUCUCUAACUUUCGGCUAUGAUGAACAAAGAUGGACAAAACUUUGUUCUUUUCACCCCUUUUUCUUUUAAUAAAAUUUCAUAUUUCAUCCAUUUAAUUCUUUAAUACAAAAGACAUGAAAUGCCCAUCAUGGAACAUUUACCUAACCCAUUAUCAUGGAACAUUUACCUAACCCAUUAUCAUGGAAUAUUUACCUAACCCAUUAUCAAUUUUUAUCAAUUUGUACCAUAAAUUAUGGAUAUCAAGUGCACAUAUUGUCUGCAACAACAUGAUGGCCGGCCACUUCUUGUAAAAUGGGAGGUUUGACAUGCAAAUCCUCCUAUUUUGUACUACUAUUUAUUUGGCCACUACAAAUUAGCCUAUAGCAUUUUCAAACAUUUUCACAUAGGUCCUAUUUCAUAAUUUCACUCACAAAUGACAAAAUCAAAGCAUGAAAUUUUGCCAACAUUCACAGAAUUCCCGAAAAUUGGGGCGUUACAUCUUCCUCUGAGUAGUAGUCCACCAAACAAUCAACAUAAGACCAAAAACCAGGAGAAUGUUAAUAUAGUAGCAGUUGAGUAGUUAGUUGAAGUAGUUAGUUAGUUAAAAAGUGGUUAAAGAAGUUAGUUUGUUAGCAGGUAGCUUUACAACCAUUAAUAUCUUGUAUAAAUACAAACCCAAAUGUAUUUUGUAAAUAGAUGAGUUCAAUGUAAAACUUCUCUUUGAUGUUCGUUACUUGUUUAGUAAUUAUUGGUAUAGUUAAACAAAUCGUCAUAAACUGACCCUCAUUCAUGUAGGCCUCAAGCGCCAUCCUAUAUGACCUAACUUAACUGAAUAGAAGCCAUUCGAACUAAAAUGCCAAAUCUGUUGGUCGAGCAAAAGGAGUUUAACAUCUUUUGCAACACGUCACAAGUAUUAAAGGGGAGCAAAAAAGCACUUAUGUAAAAAAUUGGGAUAGACUACGACAGAUUUUUUAUAACCACCUCUUUACCCACCUUUGACAAUAAUUUAUUUUUCUAAUUAAAGAUACACUUGCAUAGUCUCUCCUUUUUAAAUAGAACACUUGACCUUUGUUUCUCCCAACAAGCGGUGGUAAACAAAGGUAGCACCCACGGUCCAACGGAACAGUAACACCCAAACCUGAACAAACAAAAGUUCAAAUAGAAGGAGUAGUGUUAGUGCUAAAUAUAAUUCAUGACUUCUAUAGUUAACACUUAUCUUGAAGCAUCCUAAUACUUUUAAAGAAUCGUUUUAACCAUAAGAGCUUCCAUAUAUAUAAUUAACUAAAUUACUAAAUAUUUCUCCAAAUAAAUUGUUAUAAUUAAUUUUUACUACUUAAUUCUAAUUGUGUCCAUAUUAGAAUUUAUGUGUAAACUUAUUUAAUUAUCAGAAUGAAAUUAAGCUAUGAUGACUAUAUAAUUUAAUUCUCACUUUCGAAUCAAUUAUUUAAUUUAGACAUAAUGACAAAUCCGACGAUUAACAUUUACAUCUUUUGUCAAUUUGAUCUUAUUCUUUUUUUGUGCUAGAUUUGACCCUCAACAUUUAAAAAAGAGUCAAAUUUUUAACGAAAAUAUUGAGUAAAAUGUUAAAUUUUUAAACAUUGCAGCCUGUAUGGUGAUGUGUCACAAUUUCAUAUAUAUUAAUAUUUUUUUAAUACCUUUUUAAGCUUGUUCUUGAGUGAAAAUAGGUCGACCUAGUGCCAUUAGUUAGAUUUAUAUGUUUUAGUAGUAACUAGUAUUUGAGGGUUAUUUUUAUUAGUUAUAGUUCUUAUUUGACAUUUUGAAUAAAAUAGAACUUACUUGGGGCUUAAAUGUGUAUGAAGAAGAGUUCAAACGAGAAUGAUAUAUGAAAACUAUAAGUUUGAAGCCGAUGUUGUGUAAAAAAGAACUAUGUCACGACAAUCAAGGAGGAGGAUGUCAUGACUUCAAUAUAUGUUUGUUGCAUGAGUGUUGGAACUUAAAGGUCAAUAUCGCGACAUCAAAAGAAUUAAUGGUGCGGCGCUACUCACUGUGAUGCUAUAGGUGUUGAAGUCAGGGGCCUACAUUGAGAUGUUGCAAAGAGAUGAGAAAUCAUUCGUCAAUUUCCCAACAUUGUGAAGCAUGACAUUAAGGCAUUGAUCCAACUGCUAGGAAUCUUGAUGGUUAUUUAAGGGUAUAUAAUGGAAUUUUGGCACAAAAUCAUGCCUAAUGUCACCACAUUGCAUUAUAAAUUAUGGUAGACUUGUCAUUUGACCAACUUAAGCCUUUUUACUAUAUAUAUAAAUUAUGAAUCAAAUUUUAAAAAAAAGAAGAAAUGAGAGUAGGAAAAGUUAGACGAGAAUUAAAGAGAACUUCAGAGAAGAAAAGGAUUUUGUUGGUUUUCCUUAAUGAGUGGUUGAAUUUUCUUUCUUUUGAAGUUGAUAAUGCAAGAGUAAAAAAUUCAUGGAAGCAUUCAUUGUUUGAAAUUGACUUUACCUUAAAGCAAUGAGCAAUUCUAAACUCUAUUCUUAAUUUUUUUACUUCUUAUUAACAUGAUGUUUGGAAUUAUGAAUACUUUCUUUGUGAAUUCCAUGAUGAACUAAAUUGUUUUAUGGUUGAUUGUGAAGUUAGAUAUUGAUUAAGAUUAAAAAGCAUGUGUUUAGUAGUUAACCUUAUUAUUCAAAUGAAUUGAAGAGCUUAGUAAACUAAAAUUGACGACUCUAGUUAAAAAAUUAUGUGAAUGAGACAAAGAGAAGAUUUUAUCAAGUAAAACUCAAAUUGAUUGAGUUGAAUGGUGAGAUUGAGAGGUGAUUUAUUAACUAGGUGAGAUCGAGAGGAGAACCAAGGCGACAAUCUUUUAGGUUAGAACAUGAUCGAGUAGAAACUUCUACUUAAAAAUAAUAAUUUGUUUAAUCUUUAAGCUCAUGUCUUGCUCAAUAAAUAUCUAGUCAAACAAUCAAUCAUCCUAUUCUUCCCUGUGUUGAAUUCUUCAUUAAGAAAGAAGAACAUUUAGAUUAGAGUGCUUACAGAUUUUAUAGUUUAAUUUUAUUAUAAUGAAUGAUUUGAUCAUACUAAUAAUCCUAAGUUCUAAUAGAUUGGUACUUUUUUUUAUCUAAUAUUUUCGUAAUUGCAAUCUUUUCAUUAUUUGUUGACAAUCCCUAUAGGUAUGGCCCUUGGAAUACUUCCUGAGUAUUUCAUUGUAAAACAAAUUUCUAUACUAUAAUUUGGCUUUAUGAUGAUUGCAAAUUACUUGUACUUAAAUUUAUUUACAUAUAUUUUGUCACUUCCUAAAAAUUGGGUUAUAAGAAUCAGGUUAGUGGACCAGAUAUCAGAAUUAGGUACUUAGUAAUAAUUAGGUAAAAAUAUUAAAAUAACAAACAAGAUUAAAAUUCAGGUAGGGAAGUUAAAAUUAAGUGUUUGGUUAUUAAUUAAUUUAAAAUGAAUUUUAAAUAUGAAUUUGGUUUUGAAAAUAAUUGAUGAAAUGAGUUUUUAAAUAAAUUGGGACUAGUUUGAAAAAGGGUGGAAAUUCAAAAUGGUUAAAAGGGCAAUUAUCCAAUUUUUGAAAAAUGGUUCCGUCACUUUCUCUCCUUCAUUUCUUCCUUUUGAAAUCUCUCUAAAAAUCUCAAUCAAAGUUUUCCUCUCAAAUUAGCCAAAAAACUUAGACUCUUCAACCUCUCAAAUACCAAAAAUAACCUCUAAUUUCAAAGAAAAAAACUAUGAUUUCUCCAUCAAUUUCGCCAUUUUUUUAAGUUCAUCCUCAAAUUAGAUCCAUAGUUCGCUAUUGAGGUAACAUUUUGACUUUUUAUGAUCACAAAUCAUGUUGUUAAUUCAAUUCGAGUUUUACAUGAUUGUAUGAAGAUUUUAAUAGAUUUAACAUUUUUAAACCAAGGUUUGAUUUAAAAAUGGUGAAUCCUAAAAUCUCAAGUAAACCUAUUAUUUUAAAGUGGUUUUUGACUCAUUUUGAAUUAAUUAGAAGGUAUUUCAACUCAAUUUAAUUAAUCGCUAACGAAUUUUUAAGAAUCAAAUGUUUUCCCUCUUUUAAAUAUUCAUGAGAGCUUGAUUUUCUAAAAAUUUAAAUCUGACUAAUUAUGCAACAACCAUUUUUCGUUAAAUUGGAAUAGUGGUUUCGGGAGCACAAAUUCGAGCCAGAAAGAAAAUUUAUUUUAAUAUUAUUGCAUGGUCUGCAUUAUAAUAGGAAUGUUAUAUGAAAAUUCUGAUAAGAAAAUUUUAUUGAUUAUGUGUUUAAUUAUGGAAAGAACCAAAUUGCAUAUAAUGUAAAAGUUGAGUUCUUGUAGCUAAAAGGAUCAAUUAGCUAUGGAAUUCAAAAUAAGAGGUCCUUAUAUGGUAACUAGAUCAUUAAAAAAAAGUUAGUUGAUAUUUUUGGUGAUUCAUCCAUGAAAAAUUAGAAAAGGUUAAUGACUAAAUUGGAUAUCAAACUAAUUAAAAGAUGAUAAAUAAUUAAAUAGAAAUAUCAUCUUAUUAUAUAUCAUCUUCUUCUCCAAAAAUAUACGGAAACCCUAGAAAAGAGAAAACAAGCUUUCUUGGCUUAAUUGGGUAAGUAUUCUUGUCCCGUUUUUUAGUAAUUUUUAUAUUUUUGAGAUCAGGAUAACCAAAUCUAUCUAUAUUGGGGAUUAAUUUGUAAAGUUAUCAAAGUAUAGAAAUUUUUCCAUGAAUGAAUAUGUUGAAAAUUUGAAAUUUAUGGUAGAAAAUGAAAGAUUGUUGAUAGAUAAACAACUUUUACAGAGAGAAUUUUGAUGAAAUUGUGAUUUGGGGACUAAAUUGUAAAGAUGUAAAAGUUGUGGAAAAAUUUUGAAAUUUUUGAAAUACAUGUGCUGAAAUGUCAUAUGAAAAUUUCGGUUAGACUUGGAAUAAGGAUUAAAUUGCAUGAAUUUCAUUUUCCAAACCUAGGGACGAAAUUGUCAUUUAUGAAAAGCAUGGGGGCAAAUGCAAAUUGAAUCCAAUUGAACAUGAAAUGUGAUAAAUUGAGGGUUAAAUUCAUUUAUAUAGUUCCAGACAACUCAAAUUCGAAGCUAGAUCGAGGAAAAGAAAAAGUUUCGAAUUAGUAGAUUUUCAUACACAAACAAGUGUCAAGGUAAGUUUGUGUAACCAAAUUGUGUUUAUUUUCAUGCUUGAAUUGAAUGUGGUAUGUGAUUGUAUGAAUUUUAUAUAAAUGUUAUAAACAAAUGAAAUAAUCACAUAUUCAAUCAUAUCCAGAAAAUAUUAAGUUCUGUUGAAUAAUGAAAUUCAAUGGAUAUAUGUGAUUUCCCAUAUUGAAUAUGGUCUUGCAUAUGUUGCGGAUAGAAUAUAGCUCAGACGAGCAAUUCUAUUUUAGCCGUCUCGUGCAUCCUGUUAUAUAGUUCUUGCUAGCAUCCUGAUCGGUAGUGAUUCUACAUAUGUUGCACACUACCGCAGCUCUUUGUGAGUGUCCUGCUACAUGAUUCGAUCGGUUGUGAUCCAACAUAUAUUGCCGACACAAACGCAGCUCUACGUGAGUGUCCUGAUAUAAGCUCUUAUGGGCUUCUUGACAUUGCUCGCUCGAACUUCCUAUUCUCUUAUCUAGUGCUCCCUAAUAUUAACUCUCUGAAAUUAUCUGUUAAGCUCUAUGAGCUCCCUGAGUAAAACUCUUAUGAGUUUCUUGUUUAGCCCAGAUAAGUGUCCUGUUACAUGGCUUAUCUGAGCAUCCUGAUAUAUGUGUGCUCUCUGAUUAUGUGCCAUAAUGGGUACCCCUGAUUAUGAGUUUACAGUUUACUACUCUGUACACCUUGUGUGUAAUACCUGAGCUGAGUAUCCAUUGUAAUUUCAAUGAUUCAACAGAUAAAUCCCUGAAAUGAGAAAUUAUGAGAUUAAAUGAAUUAUAUCUUGAGUGCUCUUGGAAAUGCUUGAAAGUGUAACAUGAUGAGUUCAUCAAUGUAUAAUUGAUGCAUAAAUGAAAUAUGUGACUAAGUUGCUUACUUGAGUGUAUGUGAUUAGGCAAAUUGCCAAUUCGUUGGGAAGCAUGUUAUUGUGUACUUAUUUUAUUGAAUGUGAUUGGUAAGUUUAAUUCCUGUUAUAAGAACUUACUAAGCAUUAAAUGCUUACUAGGUUUUAUUUUCUCUGUUUUAUAGUGUUCGGAAGCUCUUUAAGGUUGGAGAAUGGUCGAAGAAUCAUCACACUAUCCUCCACUUGUUUUGGUAUAAAAAGUAAUCUUAUUUUGAUAUAAUGGCAUGUAUAGGUUAACUUGGCCUAUGUUAGCGUGUAAAUAGUUGUUUGUAACUUAGCCAUUGGAAUGGCUAAAAAUGGAUUAUUUUGGUAUAUUAUUAUAAGGUUAUAUAUCAUGUUUAGCUUAUAUGUAUGUGGUUUGGUUAAAUUGAAUUAGGUUAAAAUAUAAAUCAUUACAAGAAGGUAAGUUUGAUCAUAUGAAUAUGUGAUACUAUUUCAUACAUGUUAAUGAUGUUUGCUUGAUUCAUAUGACUUGAAUUGGUUAGAAAAUGUAUGCAAAUGUUAUUGUAGGUUGAAGGUUAAAUUUAGGUGAGAAGUAAAGCUAAGAAAGGGCUUUAUUUUGUCUACACAGGUAGACACACAGGCAUGUGUCUUGACCGUGUGUGACUCACGGCUUAGCACAUGGGCAUGUGGUUUGACUGUGUGGCCCCUGCAUCUUAAAAUUGAGAAACAGAAUGCUCAGAAUUGGGCACACAGGUAGAGACACGGACGUGUGUCUCAGUUGUGUGUGCUAUAUGGUCUAGAACACGGGUGUAUGUCUUGGCUGUGUGAAACCUGUACCUAAUUUGUAAAAAAUUAAAUUGACCACACAGUCUAGCACACAGGCGUGUGGCAAGCCGUGUGGCACAAGUCAGAGAGUUACACGGGUAAGGACAUGGGCUGGGACACGGUCGUGUGCCUCACUUUGAACACCCACACGGCCUGAGACAUGGGCAUGUCACUGCUCACACGGCCUACUCACACAGGCAUGUGACCCCUGUAUUAAAGAAAAAAAUUUAAAAUUUUGCGAAAAAUUCUCGGAGAUCCCGAUUUAGUCCCUACUUGAUUCUAAUGUUUAAAUUGGGCCUCAAGGGUCCAUUCAAGGGACAAUAUGAUUAGUUUCGAAUAUGAAAAGUAAAUGACAUGUAUUAUAUGAAAUUACUUUGUAAACUUCGGUAAUACUCCGUAACCCUGUUUCAGCAAUGGAUACAGGUUAGGGGUGUUACAAAUUAGAUUAAAUUGAUGACUUAGACCUGUAAUUAAAUAGCAUUUAGGAUGUUUGAAAUCAAAUUCGAGGUUUAGAAACGAAGAUAUUACAAGAAAUCUCUUUUUUUAGCCAAACUAGUUAAUUUUUGGUAGUAAUAGAGAGUGUGUAGAUGUACGAUUUUGCUAUGAGUUGGAUGGGAAUAAGGUUGUAAUUAAUGAGUGUGUAAUUUAAUUAUUAAGUAUGCAAAGUUCUAGAUCAAUCGGGAGCUUUUAUGAGCAAGGUAAAGGGAAAAGAGAAGCUUACCUAGCCUUUGACAUUCGACCAAAAGUAAUCCGGUGAGUGGUUGGAAUUGUUGCUUCUAGGUACAAUUCAAUGUGUUAUUAGAGAGUUUAAGGUAGCCUAAGAACCUCUCGUAAGUUUCGAGUGUAAGUAACCCCGUUUGAUCUAUUAUCGUUAUGCAAAUCAUGUUUAUAAGAUGUGCCAUGCUAUAUAAAUUAUCAUGAAAUGUCAAUGAAAAUGUUAUGUAAUUAUGACUGAAUAUUAUAUAAGCUUCUGGUAUUUAUGCACAUGAUAUGAGAUCAAUGUGAUAUGGCUCUUUGGGAAUUAUGUGAGUACUUGAAAGUGCCUUAUAUGAGAUUUGAUUAAGUGAUGUGGAUAUGUGUUAUAUGAUAUGUGAAAGUGUGCAUAAAAUAGUAAGUACACAUGUGUUUAAAUGGAUAUGUUGGCAUUGUAAUCUGUUGGAACCAUUAGAUAUAGUUGACAUGUCAUAAGUGUAACACCCCAAACACGGCCCAGACGUUACGAGCGGCCUUAUUACAACUUAAAACCCAAAACAAUUAAAGUAAGUAAAUUCUAAUCAAAACACAUGAAGAAAACCGAAUUUUCAAAACAUGUGGCCACUCCGAAUCCCUCACAGCUCCAAGUCCACUAUGGUUGGGGAUUUCCUGCGUGGAUGAAAUUAAGGGGUGAGUUUGGAAAACUCAGUGUGUAAAACAACCCAACCAUAGUCCAAAUCAGAUCAAACCACAGAAACAGAUUAAGUUGGGCCUUAGCCCUAUAUAGAAUUCAGAAUGAAGCCCAUAUGCCCAUAACAAAUACAGAACAAAUAUAUCAUGUAUGCAGAAAAUCCAACCCAUAUCCAUCCGUAUACACCCCCGUACCAACCUUACACCAUGUGGGGAGACAACUCGACCCACCCAUCCGCUACACACCACAGAAUUUGCAGCAUGGCUGCCAGAACAGAUAUUGUGACAGAGUCACCACAUACAGAUAUUGUGGCAGAACCACCAGAACAGAUAUUUGUGGCAUAGCCACCAGAAACAGAUAUUUGUGGCAUGGCGACCAGAACGCUUCCUCCAUCAAUAUAACCCAUAUCCCAUGCAACAGAUAUACAUGUCAUGGUAUACAACAUACAGAAUCAGAACAUCAUGCAUUUAAGUCAAAAUUAACCCUAGGGGUAUAACGGUCACUUUGCACCUAGGGGUAUAAUGGUAAUUUUCAUACUUAUGGGUAUUUUAGUAAAUUUACUAUUUCAGGGUUUUCAUGAAUAUUACAGCCAUUAACGUAUUAACAGAAACACUUACCGAGCGUUUUUACCGAAUUGGGCCUGUUGGCCCAUUAACCUGAUUUCAGCCCGUUAAGCCUAAAUAUAUCGAAGUGCACGAAAUUGCGCACUCUGCAAACUUACCGCUUGAGAUUACCAGGAUUAACAAACAACUAUCUCACGAGCGCUCGCACGCUCGCAAUUCACAAAAUGCCGGCUCUUUGGCAUUUUGACUUUUCGACUUUUGUCGAUCUAGUCUAUAAGUGGGUGUCGUUUACACACCUGUUCUGUAACGAUAUGUUGGUGAGAUCCACACACGAGUUGCCUACAAUCGAGUUACUAAUACGUCAGACUACAUAUCAAAACAAAAUACGUACUAAUCUCCUUACCAUAUUCGGCCAACAUUGCCUUAGUCCCUAAAGUUCUUACCUUUCUGCCGAAGUAUGGACUAGAGCUAGAUGUCCAACCAUGUUAGCCUUCAAAGCCCUUUGCUGUACGUCCCCUUGUCCACAGUAGUGCACACAAAACCAAAAAAAAAAGGCCAAUAUGCCCUUAGUCCAAACAUUAGCCACCCUUAAGGGGUUUCAGCUUUUCCUUAAAGCAUAAGUAAUAAUGAAAGUUGUUCGAAUACUUACCAAAAACGUUAUGACACUACUCCCGAUCUACUGCAGAUCCAACCACAGCACAAGAAGAGAAAAGUAUAAUCAAAGAUUCCGCUUCUGAAGUACCUCAGUGCAGAAAAGUUUCAGUUUGAAAGAAAGGAUGAGAGGUUCGGCUUCAACGAAAAGAUGAGUAAAAGUAAAAGAGAUCAGCACAAGGGGAAAACAAAAGUUGUGGUUUCGGCUUUUGUGAGUGAUCGGCUAAGGUGAUUGAAUGGGAGAGGUUUUUCUUUAUGAUUGGUGAAGCAAAGAAGAUGGGAAAAUGACGAUAAAAGAAAGGAGAGGAAUGGGUUAAUGGCCUCGGCUUGAGGAACUAAGAGAGCAAGAUAAUGAAAGAAGAGAAAAUAAGCAAAAAGAACAAAAAUAUAAAUUUGAAAUAAAACAAAACAAGAACCGAUUAAAAGGGAAGCAAGAUCGGCCAAAUUAAAAUACCCCAACUAACCCAAAAAGAAAAAAAUGAAUCAUAAAGGCGAAAAAUAAACGGUACUUAUUUGCUAUGGCCGAAUGAGUGCAUUUCGGCAUAAAAUUUCUUCCUAAAUUCCAAUUCCAUGAAUUGCUCCUUGAUUCUUGGCCAAAUUCAAUGUUUGAAUUUCAUUCAAACUCCUAACCGAAGCUGGGUCCUCCAGGCACAACCCCACGCUACUGGCCACUGGGACACAACCUUGUUUUUGAUAUAAUACUGCCACAAUAAUUUAUAACCAUUACCUGCUUCAGUUCUGGCCCGCUUUAAAAAAAAUAAAACAGAAUUCGCCCGCGCAAGGAAUCGAACCUGCUCCCUCUUCGCGGGCCCAGCACGCUGCUGCCACUGCACCACGGGCACUCCUUAUGCUGGAUUAUGCUCGCAAAUUCUGUUAAUCCCUAUUUUAAUCGCAACCUGAAUACUAAAAAAACAACCAUUUGCGCACGCCGUUCCUUGAACCCAGGGACCUCCCACGCCCUCCUAACGUGCUUAGCCACGGGGCCAGGUGCUUGUUUGUGCUAAAGCUCAGCCCAAAUUAUUAAUAAGGCCUACUGCCCAGAUUCUCUAAGGUAGCAUAAAAUUUAAAUUUUUUUUUAGACUCUUGAAUCGAACCCAAGCCUUUUCCCACACUAUAAAUCCAUCGUAAUUCACUUAGAUCCUACACUAAAUAAUUAAUAACAAUAUUGAUAAUAAUUUCCCGUAAAAAGUUAAAACAUCAAUAAUUCUAUCUCGGGCCAUCUUCUACCCGAACUCGGACUCUAAACCCAAUAUUUCUAGGCCCAAUUUUUGGGGCGUUACAAUAGGAAUGUAAGUACUAACUAUUAUUUGCUUUUAUAUGUGGACAUUGAAGCCUCAGGACUAGUUUGUAAAGACAAAGGAAUGUUGAGCUUAGCUCCAUUGAAUGGGACUGGUUGGUGUGUUUGGAGAGUGUUAACUUCAUGCUACACUUUUAUGGAACUGGUAUAGACUCUAUAAGUAAAUGAUAUAAAAUUAUUUCUUAUAACCUUGAGAUUGUGGUUUAUUGGUGGUCAUUUUGAGCACUUAUUUGGGCUUGUAAAAGCUCACACUCUUAUGUAUAUUUUAUAGAUAAAUAGCUGGUUUGUUUAAGGAGAAGUGAGUCAUCCAAGUGAUCCAAAGCAAGGUCAAACUUUCUUAAGUAUGUGUUGUGUUUUCUACCUCAAUAAGGAUGGAAAUAUGAGACGUUACCUGGGGAGUUAGACUUUGAUAUGUUCUUGGGUUGUAAUUUACAUUUUAGGGACUAUUGAUGGACUUUUAUAAUUGGCUUUUGAUCAUUGAUUGCUUGAGAAUGUUGAUUUUGAAUAUGAAUGUUAUGAUGGUUUGAGUUGCAUGAUAAAUGACUUGUAUGCCUAUAGGUGAAUAAUGAUAUAAAUGUUUUUAGGUAUGCCUAUAGGUGAAUAAUGAUAUAAAUGUUUUUAGUGCAUGUUGGAUGUUGUAGCAAGUUUUAAAUGAUCUACUGGUAUGAAAUGAAUCUUUAAUGCACAUAAAAAUGUUGGUAAUGUAAAAUUGGUAUGCUAAGUAAUUGAUAUAUGAAGUUAGGAAUUGCAUGCUAGGAUAGCUAUUUACCUUGCACGUAGAAUUGUGUGUUGGUAAGUUUUGAAGUGUGUGAGUAUGCUUAAUACAAUCUAUGUAUGUUAUAUGAUAUGUUGGAUAAGAGAAAUUAGGCUAAAUGCACAAAUUGGUAUGCUUGGUAAUGUGACAAAGUGUUAUAUGAAAUUUUUGGUUGUUUUCUACAAAAAUUGCAAACAAUGUCGCGAAAAUGUUGGAAUGAUGUUGCGAUGAGGGACCAACGUCACGAUGAGGAAUGUCACAUGGUCGUGACAUGACAACUGAGUGAUUGAACCAUGUUUUGAUAGUUUUGCAAUAUAGUCUUGAUUUUUAUACUAUGUAAUUGGAGGCCUUAAAUGCGAUGAAAUUAUUUGAAAUUUUCAUGGUUAAGUCCUAUUUGGUUAAUUUCAUACUUUUACACUCAAUUUUACAAAAAGUUUUUUUAAAAGUAUCUUACUAAACUUACGAAUUAGUCCUUAAAUUUUUGCUUUGUAAUUAAAUGAGUCUUUCUUAUCAUUCUGAAUUGUUUCUUUCAAAUAUAGUUUAAGUUUAGAUGCUUUAAGUUUAACUUGUUCAGUUAUGUAUGAUUUGUAUAUCGCAUGAGAAAAGACGAAUUUACCCUUAUUGUUGUAUUUAUCAGAAUAGCAUAAUGGAAGCAUGAUUUAAAGUUUAUAUGUUUACCCUAGACUAUAUGAUUGAUGUUUAUGCAUAUAAAUAUAUUGAGUGAAUAUUGUAAGGUGUGAACGGUGGUUUUGUAGUGUGUUUGGUGGUCGGUAAGGAUAGUCGCAUAAGUGGUUAAUGUGAUGUUCUAGAUUCGGGUCAGACCAUCCUAGUCGGGUUUGGGACACCACACAUUUUGAGUUACAUGACAAUCCAUGUUUACUUCCUACUUUUUUUUUUGUUUUAUGAUUUUUUGAAUUUGAUUUAUUUUGUUAUAUUUUUAUAAUUACUAAAUUAUUUGUCGGUGUGGCAUAUAAGACAAAUAGUGUCAUGUCAACAUAAAGAAUAUGUGGACUGCCACGCAAGUCAUCAUGUCAAUAUUGUUAAAAAAUUAAUGUUUUAAUAAACAUUUCCAUUAAAAAAAAGCAAUUUGUCUACUUUUUGAAAGGUCAAUGGCCAAAUUUAGCUAAAAAAGAAUAAAGAAAAAUUUGAUAAAAGAUGUAAAUGUUAAGGGCUAAAUUAUCAUUAUGCCUUUAAUUUAUUCAUCUAAUUAUAUAAUAAUCUAAAGAAAUUAAAUUAAUCCUAUGUCCUCUCUUACCUUCUUUAGAAAAAGAAAUUACUAUGGAUAGUAAUUCAUACAAUCUAUUUCUUAUUUUUUGUUCUGUCUACUCAUUCAAAAAUAUUAUUAUAUAAACCAUUUAAAGUUAUAGUGAGCUAGCAAAGGGACUAAUUGGACAUUAUAAUUAAGACUAACAUAAUUUGUAAUUAAGUUUUAACUCUUUCUCCAUUAAUUACAAAGUUAUUUAGUGGAGUCAAUGAACUUGUCAAAUUUGUCUUACCAUUAUAGGAUAUUUGAUAUCCCUUUAGUUAAAUUUUGUUUACCCAAUUAGUUAUAUUGGUAAUGAUUAAAUCAUUUGCCUUAGACAAAUGACCCAUGAUCAUGUUUCAUUUUCAUAAUGCAUACAAUGCUAAUGAGGAUACUAAUUACUCAUUAUAAAGUUUUGAUUUCACUAUUUUUAGUGAAGCCAAAUCACGCACAAGUCAUGUAUCCAACAUACCAACUUUCAGCCUACUACUACCUUAAGAGCACAUGUUUUCAAUAUGUCAAAAUACAUGAGUCAUACACAUAUAGUCAUUCACUUACUCAUGGUUUGGGUAAGUUACAUUGAGAACAUCAUAAUUGAAUUAACCCAUAAAUAGAUAUGUGAUUAAUUCAGCUUGAUUAUUUUUUAAUGUACUUUAAAUUCAACCAAUCACAUCUAUGCCUCUAUUUUUGAAAGUUAAUCUAGCUUCGAUAACCAAAACUAGCAUCUCCUCAAUUGGACUUAUAGGCAACAUAAUAGUCAUAAAAUUAGCUGAUCUCCACAAAUGUAAACUAAAUAUAGUCAUUUUAAUCCUUUUUAACAUUAAUUUUUCCUCAUCUUUCUCCACUAUAACUCUUGUACAAAGACUCACCUCCAUGGUCAUGUAGGGAAACCACAAUCCUUCCUUCUUCCUAGUAACACAUAUAUGCAUUUGAUCUCUUUCACCAACAUAAAUCUUAUUCCUUAUAAAAUAUUUUACAACUAAAUUGCUUUAGCUUCAUGGUUGUUUGAAUCAGAUCGGAUCAGUCACAUUGGUUAGAUUAGGAAUUGAUCAGGUUACUGGUUUUGAAAAAGGCAUUAGACCAUUUGACUUAAGAAUCGAUAUGGACCAAUUGAAUAGGAUUUUUAACAUUUUUAAAAUUUUUAAAUACCGAUCGAAGAUGAACCAAUGGGUUGAUUGAUUUGAUCACUGAUCUAAUUCUGAAAACUUUGCCUAGCUUGGGUGGUAUCCAUUACAUGUAUGGAAGGAAUUAAACAAGUAGAAAAAAAAAUGCAUUUAUAUUCUCACAUGCACAAUCAUAGAAAAUAAUUGAUUAUGGUAUCCAUUCCAGACCAACACUCUCUACUUUCGAUUAGCUAAUUGAUUAUCAACAUGGUUAUAUUACACAUUACCCAAGUUUGGAGUUUUUAAGAAAUUAUUGAUAUCCUCAGAAGAAAAAGGGAUAGGUUUCUCCUGAACUAUAAUUACAUCAUCUACAACAUUCAAGAGAUUUUCAAGAGAUUUUCAAUUUUGGGGUCAUCAACAUUUAACUCCUAUGUGCGAAGAGGGAAUCCAAUGACGGUGACGACAUACCAUGACCAUGACCUCCUCACCCAUUCCAAUUAGCCCACCUAUCAACAUAACACCACUAGCCAACCUACCACCACCGACUACCAUGAUAAUAACUAGAUUCCAAGAGAAAAAAAAACCAAUAAAUUAUGCUUCAAGUCUAAAGAAAAACUUAAAACCUGAAAUUGUUUUAGUAGAUUGUAGCAAUAUUAAACAUACUUCCUGUGGGUAAGUGAAGGACACAUCACUAUUAAGUAUAUCUUGUGAACCAUAAAACAAAAAAAACUUCGGUAGAAUUGUCGUAUAGAAGUUGUAACAGUCUGUUUUUCAAUGGUGUCGAAAAUAGUGGUUUCGAGGCCACAAAUCUAACGAGUGAAUUCGUAAAUAUUGUUAUUAAAUAUACAAUAUUUACAAGUCAAAUAUAGUAUUAUAAUAAAUUUUGAUUUGAUAUUUAUGUUAUGUAAAUGAAUAAUUAGGUUCAAGUGGUAAAUCCUUAAAGUCAAAUGAUUUUAGAAAAGGAGGUAUCGGAACCUUAUUUCUAUAAAACGAGCCCGUAAAUAUUUAGUUGUUAGGGUCAUAUCAAAACUUGGUUAAGAAAUUUAAAUGUUUAGAUAGUUAAUUAAAGAAAAAAGACUAAAUUGUAAAAGCUAUAAAAGUUAAUCAAUAUAGACUUAUUUAUAUUAAAUAGGUGAAAAAGCAUGAAGUAAGGGCCUUAAGUAGUAAUUUUACCAAAUUUAACUAUAGUGGAUGAUCAUGGCUUGGCAUUUGAUGAAUUUUUUUAAUUUUAAAGGUUAAUUUAGUAAUUAGGUAGAUUAAAAAUAAAAUAAAAGAUGAUAAGUGAAAUAUUAUCAUCUUCAACCUAUUUGUUUUUGCUUGCAAAGUUGAAUGAAGGCAUAACUAGGGUGAGCUUUUGGCCAAGUUUGAUUUCCAUUGCAUGGUAUGUUAUUUUACCCCUUUGUUUGUAGCUUUUAUGUUUUUGAAUUCGUAUUAGCUUAAUCUAGCUAACCCUAUCACGCCCCAAAAAUUUUGGUUUCUACUUCUGUAAAUUUCUGAUAUAAAAUAUGUAUCUGCUUCAGUGGUUAAGUGUUCUGGGUGUAUGUGGGGGGUCCUAAGUUUAAGCCAUGCCUUUGCCAAAAUUUGAGAUUUUUUUUUUCUGAAUAAAUACUUAACCUUGACCAAUAGGCUUUUGUUUGGUUGGUUGUAAAAACAUAUCAGAAUAAGUCUGCUGGUCUGGUGGUUAAGAUGUGUGUUGGUGGGUUAGAGGUCUGGAGUUCGAAUCCUUGUACGAGCCUGAGAGUGUAUUUUUUCUCGUCUAACAGAGAGAGUUUCGAUCAAACAUAAAUUCUGUGUAGUAGAGUUGUGGGAGAGGUAUUAGGGAUAUGGGGAAAUAUUAUUUGAUAUAUAUAUUUUUAGUAUUUUCGUUUUCAAAAAUUUUUGCUUCCCAAAAACUUUUUGACGUCAAAUUCUCCCUCUCUACCGAAUUUUUCUUCCCUUAUUGUAGUCCCACUCUAUUCUGUUCAUUCAUCAGUGCCUUCUCAGAUAUUCGUUCUUCCAUUCCUGUCAACUGUUGGUAAGCUUUUUUAAACGUGUUUUAGUUCUAUUUUCUAAGUGACUGAUGGGAAAUGUAUUUUGUGUUUGACAGCGAAGAAUCAGGUUGAGCAAGACUGUCUUUUCGAGGAAUUCUAGUCAUAAUCGCUCGAGUUGGAAUUGUAAGUGUUGAGCCCUUGAUAUGAAUUACUAUUGAAAUCCUCUAGUCAAUUGCUAAAUCGAUGUUGUGUAUACUGAUUUUAGGUUUUUGAGUGCUCGGAGAUCGGUUUAGCUUCAAACGAGACCAAGUGUGUACCCAAAAUACAGAAAACGAGAUUUGGUGAAAAGCCAAAAAAGCUUAAUGUCGACGCCACACGGGCGUGUGGUCGCCCGUGUGGUAGGCCGUGUGAUGGAACACGGGCGUGUGAUCAACAAGCCAGGCUUUGCGUGCAUGACAUAGCCGUGUGAUGGCUAAGUAGGCCAUGUGUGAGACAUGGGCUACAAUAAUUUAAGCCAUGUGGGACACACGGCCGUGUGGGCCCACAUAAGUAAAACUACACGGGCGUGUGGGAUUCUGAGCCAGGCCGUGUGAUCUACACGGCCAAGGCCAGUUUGGGUCGUGCGAGCCCACAUGGGCAGGCCACGUAGGCGUGUGAGCCCAUUUUGCUGAAAUAAUCUGUAAGGUUAAAUGGGUCGCCCUAGUUGGUUGUGGACCUAUUGUAGGGUUGGUAAGUUUUACUUAGACCCCUAACUAUGUGAUCUGAUUGUAUGGUGUUUGACUGAGCAGAUAUCUGUAAUGAACUGAAUGUAUGUUCUAUUAUUAGCAUAUUUACAUGUCAUUUAUGGUAUGUUGCAUUACAUCCAAGUGGGUUGAUGAUAUUUGGAGGAAGUAUCUAAAAGGCUUUUAAGCCUGUUAUCUGGCAGCUCAGCUGCAACCUUCUGAUUAUGUGCCGCAUUUCGGUACAACUUGGUGUGCAGGGAUGGGUGGGUUGAUUUAAUCCCCACAUGGUGUGUAGGGUUGGAUGGCGAUGGUGUGUAGAGGCUGGUGGAUAGGAUUAUGAUUUACUGUGGUUGCAUUCUGUAUUUUAUAAGGGCCAAGGCCCUAAUAUAAUUGUGAAACUGUAUCCGAUUAGGCAAAUGCCCAAACCGAAUCUGUAAUGGGCUCAGGCUUAGCCUAUAUAUGACUGUAUUCUGAUGUGUCCUGUAUGCAUGUUUUCUGUGGGGAUUACACAAUUGAGUUUGCGAAAACUCACCCUUUCUAUUUAAUCUGUUCAAGUAAUCCCCAAAUAUGACAGAUCGAUACGACAGAGGACUCGGCGGUGGCCACACGUAAAUUUUAGGCUAUUUCGCAAAUUUUCAGAUCUUAUUACCUAUUUAGGUCUUUGAUGUAACUUAUGGACUUUGGAAUAUUUAGCUUUAAGUUUCGGUUUCUUAAUUGUUUUACGAUUUAUUACUAUUAAGCAUGGUAAAACUCGGUUUUCACUAAGAUCAAAUGGUUCUUUUCAAAAUAAGUGUUUUCUAAAGCUUCUGCUAAAAAGAUAUGAAUUCAGACUUAACGAUUAACAUGUGUUUUACUUCAAACUAAGGUAGGCUAAUUUAACUGGAACGGUUUUAACUUGACAACAUCGUUUUUUACUUCCAUUCCAUUUGACAUCGCCAGAUUCGGCCAUAACGUUUAGGCCGGGUUUGGGGUGUUACAUUUAGUGGUAUCAAAGCCAGGUUGUAAAACUCGGCUGUAGAUUUAGGGUUUUAAAAAAAUGUUUUUUAAUGGUUUGAAAUAUUUUUGACCAAGUAUGUGGUACACUAAGUCUCCGGCGCCGAUCCUGUAAAUGUUCUGAAAACUUUGAUAAGUUUUUGAAAAUAUGAUUAGUAUAUCCUGAAACUACUAUAGGUAGUAUACUAUACUGGAAACACUUUAGUUAGUGUAUACUGAGACUGUAGUAAAACUGAUAGAGACUGCGAGUUACGAAAAAUCACUCUGAAUUACUGAAACUGUUUACAUAAAACAUCUGCUAAUAAUUAUUGAAUUGUAACUAAUUCAUAAAACUGUUAAUGUAGAUAAGUUUCUAAUCUACGAUGAGUGCACGAGGUAUCCGUAGACGGGAUACUAGAGGCCGUGGAAGGGGCCGUAGAGCGGCUCGAGCUGAGUCCUAUUCUUUAGGCAGUAUGCCUAGUUUAGACACGAGUGAGAUACUGGUGUCACCUGCGACUAAGACUAGGUCUCAAGACUGUAUGGUUAGGGACGACACACUGUCCCAGGCUAUGUUUAGGGUAUUGGAGAGGGUCGUUGGGCCCAAUACUGGAUUUGGGGGCUAAGGAUCAGUUACAGAAUGACUCUGGUCCAACGGGGCUGAGUUAUUCAGGGGUGUCAUUAGAGUCACCCCUAAUAUAGCUGUGUAUUGGAUGGAGGCCACCGAAUAAAUUAUGGACGAUCUGGACUUUACCUUUGAACAAAAAUUGAAAUGGGUUGUUUCUUUGCUUCGCGACAAGGCAUACCAGUGGUGGCUAACCAUUAAGGAGGGCACUUAGCCUGAACGACUGACAUGGGAUUUUAAAAAUCUACUUUCCAAGGUAAAUAUGUGGGGGCAAGCUACAUCGACGCUAGGAGACAUGAGUUUCUGAAUCUCACGUAAGGGGAUCGUUCAGUGGCCGAGUAUGAGGUUGAGUUUCUGAGAUUGAGCUAUUUGCGUGAGGUAUGGUAGUGACAGAAUAUGAGCGUUGUGUUUGUUUCCAGGAUAGACUCAGGGACAGUUUGAGGGUUCUGAUAGCUCUGCAGAGGGAGCUUGACUUUUCAGCACUGGUAGAUAAGGUGAAGAUCGCCGAAGAGGUGAAAUGCGCUGUGCUCUAAAACAGAGAUAAAGAGAGGGGUAGAAACAAGAGUGAUUUGGAGCCCUUGAGUUCUGCUAUGAGGUCUAAGAAAAAGGCCAGACCUGAGGAGCCAGUUAGAGUUGGGGCCCCUGUUGCUCCUACUGGGAUCUUGUCUUGUGGGCAUUGUGGUAGACGCCAUUUGGGGGAAUUUUAGAGGACGACUGGGGCAUGUUUGAGAUGUGGGUCUACUGAACACCACGUUCGAGGGUGUCUACUGAGGGUCGAUCAGAUGCAAGCUCCGGGUUUGGGUACUGUACAGCCGUCGAGGGUAGCUCAGCAUCCACCUAGGGGUCGUGGUCAGGUUAGAGGUGGUAACGACAUAGGCCGUAGAUAGAGCGCACCAAGCAGAGGUGUUGGACAUACUGAGGUGAGGCAGUCUACUCCUGUUUAUGCUGCUCCUCUACAAGAGGACAUAGAUGCUCCAGACGUCAUUACGGUUAAGUUUUUAAUUUAUAAUGUACCUUAUUUUGCACAAAUAGCCAUAGGCUCUACACACUCUGACGUAGCAAUUACUAUGUCUGGAACUUUGGGGGCUCCAGUUGAAAGUACUGAUAGUGAGGUAACUGUAUUUAGUCCUUUAGGGCAAUCUGUUCGGGUUAGUCCCGUUAGAGGUUGAAGAGACAGUAUUUUUGGCUGAUCUGAUGGAGCUUUCGUUCGGGGAGUUCGAUUUAAUUUUGGGGAUGGACUGGUUGGUCAAGCAUCAAGUAAGUCUGGGGUUGAUGGGUUCCUAUUGGCAUUUUGUAGAAGGGUUCUCCUUGAUCACAACUUCAUUGACUAAGCUUCUGUGUAAAGGAGUUUCUUUUGUAUAGACUGAUGGGCAGUAAGAGAGCUUUGAGAAGCUCAAGACUGUACCGAGUGAGGCCCUUAUUCUGAUACAGCCGGCGUCUGAAAAGGAGUUUACUGUUUAUAGUGAUGCGUCACACAUCAGUUUAGGCUGUGUGUUGAUGCAGGAUGGUAAGAUGGUUGCGUAUGCGCCUUGUCAGCUUAAGACUCAUGAGGCAAGUUACCCUACGCAUGAUUUGGAGUUGGCUGCUAUGGUAUUUGUACUAAAAAUCUGGAGGUAUUAUCUGUAUGGUGAGAAGUGUAUCAUCUACACUAAUCACAAAAGCAUCGAGAACCUUCUCACCCAGAAAGAACUGAAUCUUAGGUAGCGUAGAUGGAUAUAGCUACUUAAGGAUUAUGACUGCACCAUUGAAUACUAUCCUAGCAAGGCCAAUGUGGUGGCCGAUGCACUGAGCCGUAGAGUUAUGACUGAUUUGAGGGCGAUGUUUGCUCACCUUAGUCUAUUUGAUGAUAAUAGCUUAUUAGCCGAGCUUCAACUUAUGCUGACAUGGAUUGAGCAGAUUAAGGGUAAACAGUUAGAGGAUAAAUAUUUAGGUUUUCAGUUCCGACAGAUUGAGUGUAGCACCCCAAACCCGGCCCAGAAGUUAUGGCCGGAUCCGGCAUCCACAUCAAAAACGUUAAAAAAAAUUCCAUUCUAAGUCCAGAAAAUCGUACUUGAUGUUCAAAAGAUUAAUUCAUUAAGGGUUAAAGUGAAUGGAAGCUGUGCACCAGGUAGGAAACCGAAAAAGAGAUGGUGAGUCCAUCGGACUGCUUAAGUACCAAGCUCCCUUCGGAUCCAAUCCUAGAUAUGCAUACUGCCAUUACCACACCUUAACAUCAUGGAUAUUUCUAGGAAACUGAUUUGAUUAAGUCAUUUUUAGGAAAAGUGAUUAAUUUUGGAAAAUACUUUCAUUGCGGAAGCUUUACUUGUUGUCGUGUUAUUUUGAAAUCAACUGUUGUUUUUGAAAACGCGCCCUAAAGCUAUCCAAUUUCAACAGUUAAAAUAAGUAUUACCUAUCUUAGUAAUACAUAUUUAAAACCAUCAAAAAUAAAUAAGCGGCCUUAUUACAUUUAAAAGCCCAAAAUCUCAAACGUAAUUAAAAGGAUGUCCAGUUCACCAGAAGAAAAUCAAACUUUCAGAACGGGUGGCCACUCCGAAUUCCCUCACAGCUCCAAGCCCACUAUGGUUGGGGAUUACCUGCGUGGAUGAAAAUAAAAGGGGUGAGUUUGGGGAAACUCAGUGUGUAAAUUAACCCAACCAUAGCCUAUAUCAGCUCAAACCACAGAAAUAGAAUAAGUUGGCCUUAGCCCAGAACAGAAUUCAGAAUAAAGCCCAUAGGCCCAUAACAGAACAGAACAGAUAUUACAUGUUUAUGCAGAAACCCAACCAUAUCCAACCGUAUACACCCCAGUACUAACCUUACACCGUGUGGGGAGACAACUCGACCCACCCAACCGCUACACACCACAGAAUUUGCAGCAUGGUUGCCAGAACAGAUAAUGUGACAGAGUCACCAGAUACAGAUAAUCGUGGCAGAGCCACCAGAACAGAUAUAUAUGGGGCAGAGCCACCAGAUCAGAUAUUUAUUGCAUAGCCACUAGAACGCUUCCUCCAUAAUAUAACCCAUGUCCCCAUGCAACAGAUAUAUAAUCAUGGCAUACAUCAUACAGAAUCAGAUCGCUAUGUUUUCAGUCAAAAUUAACCCUACGGGUAUAACGGUAAUUUUGCACCUAGGGGUAUAACAGUAAUUUUCCAUACAUAGAGGUAUUAUAGCAAUUUAGCUAUUUUCAGGGUUUUCAUGCAUAUCCUAACUAUUUACGUACUAUCAGAACACUUACCGCGCAUACUUACCGAAUUGGGCCCGUUGGCCCAUGAACCCGAUCUUUGGCCCAUUAAGCCCAAAUUAUCAAAAUGUACGAAAUCGCGCGUACUGCAGUUUAUUACUUUAAAUUACCAAAUAUACAAACCCAACUAUUUUACGAGCAUUCGCACACUCGCAAAUUCCCAAAAUACCGACUUUUCGGCAUUUCGGCUUUUGCCAAUCUAGUCUAUGAAAGGGUGUCAGUUACACACCUGUUUGCGACGAUAUGCUGACGAGAUCCACACACGAACCGCCUACAAUUGGAUUGCUAACACGUUAAUCUAACUAUUCAAAUACAAACUACGUAUUAACCCCUUACAUUAUUCGGCCAACCACACCUACAGAUCAUAGUAAGCUUAUAAGAAAUCAAUAAGCAACUCAUUAACAAAUUUUUGUCAAUGUUUACCACAUAAUCAUAAUUUCACUGCAAGCUGUCUUCCUGAGCAACAGUCACUAAAUUAUUUAUAACUGGAGCUACGAAACUCCAAAUCGAGUGCCGUCUAUUUUCCCUGAAAAUAGACUGAUAUAUCUUUUAUCCAUAAAAUUUUCAGAAUUUUUGGUACGGCCAAUCAAUACCAUAUUUUUCUUAAAGUUUCCCAUGUUUCACUGUUUGACUAAUCUGACCACUCUUCAUUACGAAUCAAAUUUCUCAUUGUACAGAAUUCAAAAUAUGUUAUUGUUUAUUUCAUUAGAAACUAGACUCAAUAAGCUUUAAUUACAUAAUUUAUUUAGCUUCUAAUUCAUCUCCCACAAUUUAUGGUGAUUUUCCAAAGUCACGUUACUACUGCUGUCCCAAGCAGAUUUAUUACCAAAUCACUCUUUCACACAUAUCUUGCAUGCAUGUUAUUUAAACAUGUAUAUCACCAAUCAAUCAUCACAUAUCUAUGAUUUUACUUAAGUAUAAUCUCCAUUUCAUCAUUUUAAAGCACAACAUGUUAGCUGAUUUUUCCCUUUAACAUCUAAGGCACAUGCAUGCUCAUUUGUUUGGCUCAACUUCACCUAUCUUCCAUUUUUCAUCAAAAGAACAUGAAACAACAACCAUUUCCUUCAUUUUAAUUCAUGACUAAAUGCUCACAACACAACUAAAAAUCAAAAUAUACUUCAAGAGUUAAGGUAGAAUCAAGAAGAACUCAUGAACCUCAAAAUAGAAGCAAGGUACCAAGAACUUACCUUCAAUUUUCCUCCUCCUAAUGACCAAAUACUCAAGAGCUUUCUCCUCUCCUUUCUCUUCUCUAACUUUCAGCUAUGAUGAACAAAGAUGGACAAACUUUGUUCUUUUCACCCAUUUUUCUUUUAAUAAAACUUCAUAUUUCAUCCAUUUAAUUCUUUAAUACAAAAGACAUGAAAUUCUUAUCAUGAAACAUUUACCUAACCCAUUAUCAUGAAACAUUUACCUAACCCAUUAUCAUGGAACAUUUACCUAACCUAUUAUCAUUGAACAUUUACCUAACCUAUUAUCAAUUUGUUCCAUAAAUUAUGGAUAUCAAGUGUACAUUUUGUCUACAACAACAUGAUGGCUGGCCACUUCAUGUAAAAUGGGAGGUUUGUCAUUCAAAUCCUCCUAUUUUGCACUCCUAUUUAUUUGGCCACUUCAAUUUAGCCUAUAGCAUUUUCAAACAUUUUCACAUAUGUCCUAUUUCAUAAUUUCACCCCCUUUUUUCUUAUGGAACAAAAAUUAACUAAAAUUGUCGGGUUCUAUCUUAAGUUUGGGUUUUCUAGAGGCCCACUAACAUAAUUAAACCUAUGCCAACAUUCACAGAAUUCCCGGAAAUUGGGGCAUUACAACUCUACCCUCCUUAAAGAAAUUUCGUCCUCGAAAUUUACCUAAUCCAAACAGAUGAGGGUAUUGCUGUUGCAUCGUCUCUUUUGGCUCCCAAACUCAGAAGUUUCCCCUUCCUUAACUUGUUGAAAACGAGCGACCAAAGACUCAUCGUUCAACUAUUUUUCUUUAAUCUGAUCCACCCAGGUUGGCCUCACUUGCAACUCAGUCAACAGACUUCUAUCAUCAUACAGACUCAGACGAGCAAACAUUGCUCUCAGAUCAGAUACAGCUCUACAACUUAGAGCAUCGGCUACCACAUUAGCCUUGCUUGGGUGAUACUCGAUCGAACAGUCAUAAUCCUUAAGCAACUCAAUCCAUCUCCUUUGCCUAAGGUUCAGCUCCUUCUGAGUCAACCAAUACUUAAGACUCUUAUGGUCAGUGUAUAUAAUACACCUUUCUCCAUACAAGUAAUAUCUCCAAAUCUUAAGUGCAAAUAUCACUGCUGCCAACUCUAAAUCAUGAGUCAAGUAGUUUCUCUCAUGAGGCUUAAGCUAUUGUGAUGCAUAUGCAACCACCUUACCCUCUUGCAUUAACACGCAGCCCAAACCCACGUGUGAUGCGUCACUGUACACAGUAAAAUCAUUCCCAGACUCCGACUGAAUUAACACAAGUGCUUCAGUCAGAACUUUCUUCAACUUCUCAAAAGCUUCCUGUUGUUUCUUAGUCCAUACAAACGGUACUCCUUUCCUUAUGUGUUUUGUCAGAGGUGCUGCCAUCACAAAAAAAAACCUUCCACAAACCUUCUGUAGUAUCCUACCAGUCCUAGAAAACUCCGUAUUUCUGACACUGACCUAGGCGGCUUCCACUCCAAAAUCGCUUCAAUUUUCUGAGGGUCCACCUUAAUCCCCUCAGUAGAGACCACAUGUCCUAAGAAGGUUACCUCCCUCAACCAAAAUUCACACUUGCUGAACUUCGCAAAGAGUUCCUUCUCCCUUAAUACUUACAGCACUAUACGGAAAUGCUCAUCAUGUUUCGUUUCAGUUUUAGAAUAUACUAGGAUAUCGUCAAUAAAGACAACUACGAACUGAUCUAAAAAUGGUUGGAACACACGAUUCAUCAGAUCUAUAAACGCUGCAGGAGCGUUCGUCAGUCCAAAUGGCAUAACCAAAAACUCGUAAUGACCAUACCGAGUCCUGAAUGUCGUCUUUUGGAUAUCUACCUCCUUGACCCUUAACUGAUGAUAUCCAGAUCGAAGGUCGAUCUUGGAAAAUACAGAAGCUCCUCUAAGCUGGUCAAAUAGAUCGUCAAUCCUUGGUAGUGGAUACUUAUUCUUAAUCGUCAGUUUGUUCAACUGGCGAUAAUCAAUGCACAUCCGCAUCGUACCAUCCUUCUUUUUCACGAAUAGCACCGGUGCUCCCCAUGAAGACACGCUUGGCCUAACGAAGUCCCUAUCCAACAACUCUUGAAUUUGAGCCUUUAACUCCACUAACUCCUUCGGUGCCAUCCUAUACGGUGCGAUGGACACGGGCGCCGUUCCAGGCAACAAGUCUAUUCCAAACUCAACUUCUCGAUUCGGAGGCAAUCCUGGAAGCUCCUCCGGAAAAACAUCUUGGAACUCCUUUACGGUCCUAACCUUAUCCACUGUCAGUCCCUCCUCUUCUGACUGACUUACAAAUGCCAAAUAGGCUUCACAACCUUUUCGAAUCCACUUUUCGGCUCUUAAAGCCGACACCACAUUGGACAAAUAAUCCCUUCGCUCACCUAUCACUAUAACCUCCUCAUCCUUUGUGGUCCUUAACACCAUUCGUUUAGUAGCACAAUCCAGGGUCGCCUUAUGCUUAACAAGCCAGUCCAUUCCCAAAAUGAGAUCAAACUCUCCAAACGGUAACUCCAUCAGAUCUCCAGGGAAAAUCUUACCUUAAGUUUCUAAGGGUACAUCCCUAUACAGUUUGUCUACCCUAACCGAGUGACUCAAAUGACUUAGUACAGAUACCCCACUCACAAUCUCCUCAGAGCAGUCCAAGUUGUCCAUAAUCCGUUCUGUGGCCUCCAACCAAUAUUCCGCCACAUUCGGGGCUAUACCAGACGCACCCCUAAAGAUCUUCGCUCUGUUGGCCCAGAGUCGUUCAGAAAUUGAUCCUCGAAUUUCGUUGUCCGAACUUGUUCCGGCAACCCUUUCCAGAACACGAAGCAUUGCCUGUGACAGGGCAUCAUCCUCGGCGGCCCUAUCAUACGGCCCAUUCUCAUCCGUCGGUGGUGGUCGUGCUACUCUAGUGGGUAUGUGUUCAGAAGACGAAGUUCUAGCUUGAGUACUACCUCGGCCUCAACCACGGCCUCUUCCCCGAGUAGCUCUCGUACUCAUAUCGAUUUAUCUUGAUUACCAAUUUUUAUGCAUCAAUUCAAUAUUCCAGUGUUUAUUACAGAUGUUUUAUGAAUCAGACAGUAAUUCAAAGUUUGUUUUCGCAGAAUCGAAGUCUAGCUACAGUUUCAGUUUCUUAUCAGAUUUUCCUAUGGUUUCCGUAUCAUCCUAUCUAGAGUAUCCUAGUAGGAUUUCAGUACAGAUAGAUAAGUCAGAAAAAUAUUCAAAAGAGUUCAGAGUAAUACUUACAGGCUUGAGCCGGAGAUUCGGAAUGCCACCUUCUAAAGAUCUAAAUUUUGAAAAUCGAGUUUUUCGCAUUCUUUAUAAAAUUUUCGUUUUCAAAAAUCUUUGUUUUUGUAAACUCAUUCCACAGCCGAGUUGUUGCAACCUACGCUCUGAUACCACUAAAUGUAGCACCCCAAACCCGGUCCAGAAGUUAUGGCCGGAUCCGGCAUGCCACAUCAAAAACGUUAAAAAAAAUUCCAUUCUAAGUCCAGAAAAUCGUACUUGAUGUUGAAAAGAUUAAUUCAUUAAGGGUUAAAGUGAAUGGAAGCUGUGCACCAGGUAGGAAACCGAAAAAGAGGUGGUGAGUCCAUCGGACUACUUAAGUACCAAGCUCCCUUCGGAUCCAAUCCUAGAUAUGCAUACUGCCAUUGCCACACCUUAACGUUAUGGAUAUUUCUAGGAAGCCGAUUUGAUUAAGUCAUUUUUAGGAAAAGUGAUUAAUUUUGGAAAAUACUUUCAUUGCGGAAGCUUUGCUUGUUGUCGUGUUAUUUUGAAAUCAACUGUUGUUUUUGAAAACGCGCCCUAAAGCUAUCCAAUUUCAACAGUUAAAAUAAGCAUUACCUAUCUUAGUAAUACAUAUUAAAAACCAUCAAAAAUAAAUAAGCGGCCUUAUUACAUUUAAAAGCCCAAAACCUCAAACGUAAUUAAAAGGAUGUCCAGUUCACCAGAAGAAAAUCAAACUUUCAGAACGGGUGGCCACUCCAAAUUCCCUCACAGCUCCAAGCCCACUAUGGUUGGGGAUUACCUGCGUGAUGAAAAUAAAAGGGGUGAGUUUGGGAAACUCAGUGUGUAAAUUAACCCAACCAUAGCCUAUAUCAGCUCAAACCACAGAAAUAGAAUAAGUUGGCCUUAGCCCAGAACAGAAUUCAGAAUAAAGCCCAUAGGCCCAUAACAGAACAGAACAGAUAUUACAUGUUUAUGCAGAAACCCAACCAUAUCCAACCGUAUACACCCCCGUACCAAUCUUACACCGUGUGGGGAGACAACUCGACCCACCCAACCGCUACACACCACAGAAUUUGCAACAUGGUUGCCAGAACAGAUAAUGUGACAGAGUCACCAGAUACAGAUAAUCGUGGCAGAGCCACCAGAACAGAUAUAUAUGUGGCAGAGCCACCAGAUCAGAUAUUUAUGGCAUAGCCACUAGAACGCUUCCUCCAUAAUAUAACCCAUGUCCCCAUGCAACAGAUAUAUAAUCAUGGCAUACAUCAUACAGAAUCAGAUCGCUAUGUUUUCAGUCAAAAUUAACCCUACGGGUAUAACGGUAAUUUUGCACCUAAGGGUAUAAUAGUAAUUUUCCAUACAUAGAGGUAUUAUAGCAAUUUAGCUACUUUCAGGGUUUUCAUGCAUAUCCUAACUAUUUACGUACUAUCAGAACACUUACCGCGCAUACUUACCGAAUUGGGCCCGUUGGCCCAUGAACCCGAUCUUUGGCCCAUUAAGCCCAAAUUAUCAAAAUGUACGAAAUCGCGCGUACUGCAGUUUAUUACUUUAGAUUACCAAAUAUACAAACCCAACUAUUUUACGAGCAUUCGCACACUCACAAAUUCCCAAAAUAUCGACUUUUCGGCAUUUCGGCUUUUCGACUUUUGCCAAUCUAGUCUAUGAAAGGGUGUCAGUUACACACCUGUUUGCGACGACAUGCUGACGAGAUCCACACACGAACCGCCUACAAUUGGAUUACUAACACGUUAAUCUAACUAUUCAAAUACAAACUACGUAUUAACCCCUUACAUUAUUCGGCCAACCACACCUACAGAUCAUAGUAAGCUUAUAAGAAAUCAAUAAGCAACUCAUUAACAAAUUUUUGUCAAUGUUUACCACAUAAUCAUAAUUUCACUGCAAGCUGUCUUCCUGAGCAACAGUCACUAAAUUAUUUAUAACUGGAGCUAUGAAACUCCAAAUCAAGUGCCGUCUAUUUUCCCUGAAAAUAGACUGAUAUAUCUUUUAUCCAUAAAAUUUUCAGAAUUUUUGGUGUGGCCAAUCAAUACCAUAUUUUUCUUAAAGUUUCCCAUGUUUCACUAUUUGACUAAUCUGACCACUCUUCAUUACGAAUCAAAUUUCUCAUUGUACAGAAUUCAAAAUAUGUUAUUGUUUAUUUAAUUAGAAACUAGACUCAAUAAGCUUUAAUUACAUAAUUUAUUCAGCUUCUAAUUCAUCUCCCACAAUUUAUGGUGAUUUUCCAAAGUCACGUUACUGCUGCUGUCCCAAGCAGAUUUAUUACCAAAUCACUCUUUCACACAUAUCUUGCAUGCAUGUUGUUUAAACAUGUAUAUCACCAAUCAAUCAUCACAUAUCUAUGAUUUUACUUAAGUAUAAUCUCCAUUUCAUCAUUUUAAAGCACAACAUGUUAGCUGAUUUUUCCCUUUAACAUCUAAGGCACAUGCAUGCUCAUUUGUUUGGCUCAACUUCACCUAUCUUCCAUUUUUCAUCAAAAGAACAUGAAACAAUAACCAUUUCCUUCAUUUUAAUUCAUGACUAAAUGCUCACAACACAACUAAAAAUCAAAAUAUACUUUAAGAGUUAAGGUAGAAUCAAGAAGAACUCAUGAACCUCAAAAUAGAAGCAAGGUACCAAGAACUUACCUUCAAUUUUCCUCCUCCUAAUGACCAAAUACUCAAGAGCUUUCUCCUCUCCUUUCUCUUCUCUAACUUUCAGCUAUGAUGAACAAAGAUGGACAAACUUUGUUCUUUUC